UUGAUGUAUAUGCUAGGUUUGGUUACGUAGAGAAUGCUGCUUGUGUCUUCGAUCAAAUGCCACAGAAAAACAUGGUUUCGUGGAGCGCAAUGAUUGGUUGUUAUGCGAAGAAUGGGAAACCUCUUGAAGCAUUCGAUGUUUUUCGUGAUAUGAUGAAUCAUGUUUUGUUACCAAACUCGGUGACAAUGGUUAGUGUGGUUCAAGCUUG
rnacentral:misc_RNA from 1 species